GUUUAGCAGAAUAGAAGAGGAAUCACUUAAUAGCAGUGAAGCAGACACAUUUCAGGAUCCUGUUGAUGAAACACUUCAUAAUGCAUUGAAGACUGCCUUGAAGAGAGAAGUUUCGGAUUGGAAUGCAGUACUUGAUAAGUGGUCAAAAACUUAUGAAUUGCGUCGUAAAGAAUCCCAAACCUUGAAUGCAUGCGAAUUUUUGCAAGAAUGGCCGAAGUAUACCGAUUCUCGUGCAGUGGAUUUGAUCAAGCUUGAUUUUACAAUUGCGUAUCCAGGAAAAGAAUCUAUGUUAGUAUCUAAAUGGGAUAAUUUUAAAAAGAAAAUAGUUAUAUACUAUAAGGAAAAUAUUCACAAUGCUACAUGUAAACAUUUAUUGGAACAAGUUCAGUCGGCGGAAUCUAUUGAUUCUUCGGACUACAUAAUAACAGCUCUUCUACCGUCGGUCUUACCUUCUAACAGUUGGCAUUCAUCUAAAUCAAAGACUUCAAGAACACGGGUAACUUUAUUGGACUCACAGGAAAGUCUCGUGCUUCGUUUGGAUACAAUUGGGGACUACGAGCGUAAAGUAAACAAUCUUAUUUGCAAAAAUUACGGUAAUUCAAAUACACUUCAACCUUUUAUCAUUGUGGAAGGCGUGAACUCCAACGAUAUAAAGUCGUUCUUUGUAUACUUUGAUAAAACAAUAUACAAAUUAGAUUCAUUUAUUGAUUGUUUGGAUGUUUGCUUCAAACUUUUUAACACCCUAAAUCUGCAUUAUCCAAUAGCUUCGAAGUUUCCAUGGCUAUUCAUACAAAAAUACUUUUAUGAAAUUGACACGCCUUAUGAUGUAAAGUCUGCAAACUUAACUGCUUUAUUAAGUUUUAUGAGAAAGUGAAAAUAAAACAUUGCUGUAAAAAUGUUUCCAUGCUUUCGAUGUAACAAAAAAUUUAACACUGCGGAUUUAUUAAUCCAUCAUUUACAAAAUGAUCAUGUUUUAAAAAAGCCUGGGUUCUGUGACCCGUUACAAUGCAAAAUUAAC